rnacentral:rRNA from 1 species
CGGCGGACGGGUGAGUAACGCGUGGGUAACCUGCCUCAUACAGGGGGAUAACAGUUAGAAAUGACUGCUAAUACCGCAUAAGACCACGGUACCGCAUGGUGCAGUGGUAAAAACUCCGGUGGUAUGAGAUGGACCCGCGUCUGAUUAGGUAGUUGGUGGGGUAACGGCCUACCAAGCCGACGAUCAGUAGCCGACCUGAGAGGGUGACCGGCCACAUUGGGACUGAGACACGGCCCAG